UCGUGCCUGGCUCCCUGUAUGCCACAAGUAAAUACUGAUUUAGUUGCAAAAUCGAAUUUCUGGUGGCGUGCAGAGUAGCCAAGCAUGA
rfam:Arabis alpina cultivar Pajares scaff_42556_1_contig_3, whole genome shotgun sequence.